UACGAAGGGUGCAAACGUUGCUCGGAAUUAUUGGGCGUAAAGCGCACGUAGGCGGCUUAGCAAGUCGGAUGUGAAAUCCCUUGGCUCAACCAAGGAAGUGCAUCCGAAACUGCUGAGCUUGAGUACCAAAGAGGAUCGCGGAAUUCCCGGUGUAGAGGUGAAAUUCGUAGAUAUCGGGAGGAACACCAGUGGCGAAGGCGGCGAUCUGGGUGGAUACUGACGCUGAGGUGCGAAAGCGUGGGGAGCAAACAGG
rnacentral:rRNA from 1 species